rnacentral:tRNA from 1 species
GCCCAGCUGGCUUAUUAGGUAGAGCAUGAGACUCUUGAUCCUAGGGUUGUGAGUCUAAGCCCCACUUUGGGUG